AUGAGAACCAGGACCUGGCCCAGGUACUGGUUUCCGUCCCAGCUCCCUGCUGCUCCUUAUACCGGUGCAGGCAGAGGGGUCCUGAUUCCACAGCCUGGACUCAGAUCUCUGCUACCCACAAUGCGAGCAUUGAGGGUCUGGGACAGAGCUAGCUGGGAGCCCAGUGUUGUGCUGGGGAUGGCCAUGGAGGGGCUGCUGGUUCCAUGUCUCUUUGUGUCCAUCACACCCAGCCCAUUUUCUGUCCUCCUUCUGUGCCAUAGAGUGCUGGGAAAAGGCUCCUGGCCCUGCCAAGAGGAGGGCAAUCCCAGGUCUCCUUCCUUGGGCCAUGGUGCCAUCUCCCAGCUUCUGCUUCUCUGCGGGCUGCUGGGAGAGCCAUUGUACAAACAGCCAAUCUCCUGCACUGGAACGACUUCCGGGAGCUGGUUGAAAAACAGGAGAUGUGGAGGAUUGCGGAGUGCUAGCUGCAGUGGGACCAGAGUAGGGCAGAGGAAUACCUGCAGCAGAGCCAGCCCUUCCUGUAGGACCCUCAGGUGGCCUUGUGAGAGGAGGCUGUGAGGUUCAUUGGUGUGCCACAGCCCCUUUGUUCUUCUCUUGGCGGUGUUUGGCUGUCCCAGCCACUGCCCUCUGACACUAGGAGCCCCUUGAGCGGAUCCCAGUGCCCUGGUGCCUUGCUCAGGCCCUCCUCGGCCACUCUCGCUGCUGGGGAGCAAUGCAGUUCUGCUGCUGGGAGCAGGAUCUCACAGGUGCUCUGUGCCUAGGGCUUGCUGCGCGCUACUCAAGGGACCUGAGUGAGAAGAAGCUACAGGAUAUCAUCAGGGGUGAGGGCUGUGGUGUUUGUACUGAAGCCUGGGGCAGAGAUCCCCAUGCCUUGUUCUCCUCCAAGGAAAUUCUUGGGGCUGAGGGACAAUACAGAACCAUAGAAUCCUAGGAAGGUUUGCUUUCAAGCAACCUUAUGAAUCACAGCACCAUGGAAUCCUAGUGAUUAGGUGGGAAGGGACCUGAAAGAUCGUGCAGCCAUGAUAUCCCAGGGUGGUCGAAUGGUUAUGUUGGAAUGGAUGUUAAAGGCCACCCAGUUCUAAGCCCUUGCUGUGUCCAGGAUGCCCCCCAGUGGAUCAGAUUGCCCAGGGCCCCAUCCAACCUGGUCUUGAGCAGCUCCGGGGAUGGGGAACCCACGUUUUCUGGGUUGCCUGUGUCAGGGUCUCUCUGCCCUCUGAGGGAAGAACUUUCUCCUAAGUCAGAGUCAAGGGGAAAAAGCAGCAAGGCUGAUAUUGUGGUGGGAACCUAACCUGGCAGCUCAGACCACAUUGAUCCUUGGGACAACCAUGAGGACAGUGACAUCACGACAGAGCCUGCGAGCACUGUGUUGUCUGUUCUGCUGAGCUGCAGCACUCCUCUGACAGCUCUGUCCCUCAGAGGAGCACAGCAAACCCAGUGCCCUGCUGCCCUUCACACUGGGACAUCCCUGUGCAUGCUCAGCAGGCGCCGCCAUUCCUGGCCUCUGCUGCUGGCUGCAGGACAGCACAGUGCAUCCCUCUGCACUCCCAAGGCAUGGCUGACCAAGCUGUUGGCUUGGCUGAGUGAAGAUGUCUCAGGCCACAUAUACGUACCUUGAUUUAAUGUAUGGAAGUAACAAACCUUCUUUUUGUAUAUCCAUGUAUUUAAUAAAAUAUUUUUAAAUAUUAAUAUUUGUGGGCA
rnacentral:lncRNA from 1 species